rnacentral:rRNA from 1 species
AUGUCAAGGGACAAACCUCAGCCAUGGGGCAGCAGCAACUCAAGCUCAAGGCCUCCCUCUACCUUGAUUUACUUUAACCAGGUUCUGAAGAGCCACUGUUUGUUCAAUUCGUCGAGUCUUCGACCGUCCUGCGGACUGCUGCUAAGUCGAGAUGUUGCAAGGCUUCUGGUCUGUAAGCUCUUGUUUUUUCCUUCCUAUCUAGCAGUCAAAUAUAUGUGGAUUGGUUGUUAUGUGCGGCUUCAGUUGUUUCUUAGAUGUGUUGGCUGCUCAUAUCUGGCUAAUGUUUUUUUUGAUGCAUUAGCUUCUCGAGGCUGGAUAUGGUCUGAUUCCUUUGAUGGAUUAGGGGAUCUACUUGGAUCCUUUGAAUUUUUUGUUGCCAUGUGGGAGGCUGGGCUGCAUGUCUAG